CAGUGUCUUGCACAUCCAACGCAAGGGUCUCUAGGCGGUAAGGGGUCCUUUGAUCAAGAAAAUCCAAUUAUUUGUGUAUAUACAUUUCCCACAUAGUGAUUACUUCAUUAAUUGUCCCGCCUUUAUCUCCUCCCUUCCCAUCCCCCCUAAUAAUCAGUUCUUUUAUCCAGACCAACAAACACACCAUAGGAGCUUUGUGGAUUCAAAGGAUUUGCUUUCGCUUCUGAAAGAGCCGCUAUUCUUUGAUGAUUGGGUAGCGGCAAACUUCAAAGCCAUAAAUCUUCCCUCUGACUGGUUGGCGGCCCGGCAAAGUCCUUAUCAAAUUCUUGGAGGUGAUCCUGGCGCAGUCAGACAGUCCGCGGAGAUCGCGCAGCGCGGGGGGGUGGGACGCGCACGGAGGCGAAGAGAUCAGAAGGAAAGGGAGAGAGAGGGGGAGAGAGAAGGAAACUGGGCAGCUUCUCGUCUUCCCCUCGGCGUCCUCAUGCCUCGGCAGUGCCCCGGCGCCUUCCCUUCGCCCCGGGCGCAGUAGCCAUGGCCGCGGUGGCUGUCCUCCGGAACGACUCCCUCCAGGCUUUCCUCCAGGACCGCACCCCCAGCGCCUCCCCAGACUUGGCCAAGCACUCGCCCCUGGCUCUUCUGGCCGCUACUUGUAGCCGAAUCGGGCAGCCGGGCGCAGCGCCCUCGGAUUUCCUGCCGGUUUCCUACGACCCGACGCUGGGAUCCCCCUCUAGGAUCUUCCACCCGUGGAGCGGCGAGAUGCCAGCGCACUCCCCGGGAGGGCUGCCGCCGCCGCAUCCCAGCUUGGGGCUGACCCCUCAGAAGAACCACCUGCAACCCUCCUUCGGGGGUUCUCACGAACUGCCCCUCACCCCCCCGGCGGACCCCUCCUAUCCCUACGAGUUCUCCCCCGUCAAGAUGCUGCCCUCCUCCAUGGCCGCCCUGCCGUCCAGCUGCCCGCCCGCCUACGUCCCCUACGCCGCCCAGGCCGCCCUGCCGCCCGGGUACUCCAACCUGCUUCCGCCCGCCCAGCCCUGCCGGCAGCUGUCGCCCAACCCGCCGCCCGAGGACAUCCCCUGGUGGAGCAUCCAGCAGGCCAGCGCCCCGGGCGGCUGCGGCCACCGCUUCCCCGCAGCGGCGGCGCUGCCGCGGAGCCUGGUGCUGGGGCACUCGGACUUCGCUCAGUACCAGACGCAGAUCGCCGCCCUGCUGCAGACCAAGUCUCCCCUGGCGGCAACGGCCAGGAGGUGCCGCCGCUGCCGCUGCCCCAACUGCCAGUCGGCCGCGGGCAGCGCCCCCGAGGCGGAGCCGGGCAAGAAGAAGCAGCAUAUCUGCCACAUCCCCGGCUGCGGCAAGGUGUACGGCAAGACCUCGCACCUGAAGGCGCACCUGCGCUGGCACACGGGCGAGCGGCCCUUCGUCUGCAACUGGCUCUUCUGCGGGAAGAGCUUCACCCGCUCCGACGAGCUGCAGCGGCACCUGCGGACUCACACGGGCGAGAAGCGCUUCGUCUGCCCCGAGUGCGGGAAGCGCUUCAUGCGCAGCGACCACCUGGCCAAGCACGUCAAGACCCACCAGAACAAGAAGCUGAAGGCGGCGGCGGACGGCGUCAAGCGGGAGGACAGCCGCGACCUGUGACCGCCGGGACAGCCGGCGGCUGCUGCCUCUGCGGGCCGAGCCGAGCCGCGGCGGGACCCGGGCGGGGGGCGUUUCUCCGCCGGGGGCAGGGCGGUGGGGAGAGAGCGGCAGGUUCUCGGACUCUCGCCGGGCACGGCGAGCAGUACCCCGGCUGGGAGAGGCCUCCGCGGACCCUCAGGCCCGGGACUGGACGCUCAUAGGGCCCCGGGGCCGUCCGGGGGCAGGCGCCCGGCCCGGCCUGGAGCGCGGCUGAAUGGGGGGCCCGGGCGCUGGGGCACGAGCGGGGCCGGCCCGGUCCGGCCGCGGGGAUCGAGGCUUAUAGACACCUGGGGGUGAGGUGGCAGCGCCGCUGUGGCCGUGCUGGGGCUCGGCCUUCGUGCUUUCAGGGUAACAGACUGAAGUUUUGUGUACAGGUUAUUUAAUAGUUACGUUUGAAUACAUGUGUUCCCCCCCGUCUUCGACCCCGCGCGGGGUCUAGCAUGAGAUGUUUCUGUAAAGCGACCCGCGACCGCAGCGUGAAAUAAACACGUUCACACCGGGGUCACAGGGACGGUGCGGCCGCGUCGGUCUCGUUUGAUCGUUGCCGGGUGCCCCUUCCCGCCAUUUCCCGCUGAGGCGGCGGGCCGGCUGCGGGCCCGGCUCCACCGCGGCGGCCGAGCGGAGCGCAGCCACGGGGACCUGAGAGCUGCUCAUGGACUAAUCUGGAACUGUUCGGCUUCAGGUGAGAUCCUCUGGUGGCAGUUGUCAAGGAAGCUUUG